CUGGAAUUCAACCAUUAAUUCAACGCAGCGUGAUCAUUCAUUUAUUUACUCAUUCUACAAGUUCGUGUCGAGAGCCAGUUGUGUGCCAGGUGCUCACACUGGUCUUGGGGACAGAGCAGUGAUCAAAACAGACACAAGUCUCCGCCCGCAUGGAUCUUACACUCUAGCUGGGAAGAGCCAGUAAACCAAUUGGUCACUCUGGCUGCUGUCUUUGGAAUAGACAGGAGACAGGACAGAAGCGAGGGGGUGGAUUAAAAGGCUAUGACAACAAUCCAGAAAGUGGAAUGUAAUAUUUUAGCUUAAGUCAAUAUCCAAGACCAUCUGCCAAGGACUUCACUUUCUUCCUCUGCUGGAGGAUGUCAGUCUUUCUAGCAACUGAUUUGCAGCCAGCAAUUGUUCACCUUGGGCUGAGGACUAAAGUCCAAACGAAUCUGUUGACCUCAGCUGCAGCUGCAUAGUUGAGAUUUCAGUGUGCUGCAUAGAAACUGUG
rnacentral:lncRNA from 1 species